GAAUCAGAUCCAAAUACAUAUGACGUCAAAAACAUGGUGAAGGAUAUGAAGGCUGUGGAUAGAGCUGUUGUAGGAUUGAUGUGCAAGGAUAUAAUAGAUGUUGGAAGGUUUAUGUGGCUCAACGAACAUGGACUUGAAUGUGAGCUUGUCAAGUAUGUCCCGUCAAAUAUCUCUCCAGAAAACCGAUUGUUGGUUGCUAGGCAGAAAAGUUGAGUGUUAACUUGCUGCUGAACACCAUAUUUGUAUUAUCAUAUAUUUAGCUUUCUCAGAC
rnacentral:misc_RNA from 1 species